AUUGAACGCUGGCGGCAUGCCUUACACAUGCAAGUCGAACGGCAGCACGGGUGCUUGCACCUGGUGGCGAGUGGCGAACGGGUGAGUAAUAUAUCGGAACGUACCUUAUUGUGGGGGAUAACGCAGCGAAAGCUGUGCUAAUACCGCAUAAUCCCUAAGGGGGAAAGCGGGGGACCGUAAGGCCUCGCGCAAUUAGAGCGGCCGAUACCUGAUUAGCUAGUUGGUGAGGUAAAGGCUCACGAAGGCAACGAUCAGUAGCAGGUCUGAGAGGACGAUCAGCCACGCUGGGAGUGAGACGCGGCCCAGACUCCUACUGGAGGCAGGAGUGGGGAAUUUUGGACAAUGGGGGCAACCCUGAUCCAGCAAUGCCGCGUGAGUGAAGAAGGCCUUCGGGUUGUAAAGCUCUUCUGUCAGGGAAGAAACAGCAGCUCUAACACAGUUUGCGAAUGACGGUACCUGAAGAAUAAGCACCGGCUAACUACGUGCCAGCCGCCGCAGUAA
rnacentral:rRNA from 1 species